AUGUGGAGGCUAUAUACAGGGGGUACUGGUACAGAGUCAAUGUGGAGGCUAUAUACAGGGGGUACCGGUACAGAGUCAAUGUGGAGGCUAUAUACAGGGUAUUACGGUACAGAGUCAAUGUGGAGGCUAUAUACAGGGGGUACCGGUACAGAGUCAAUGUGGAGGCUAUAUACAGGGGGUACCGGUACAGAGUCAAUGUGGAGGCUAUAUACAGGGGGUACCGGUACAGAGUCAAUGUGGAGGCUUAAUACAGGGGGUACCGGUACAGAGUCAAUGUGGAGGCUAUAUACAGGGAGGUACCGGUACAGAGUCAAUGUGGAGGCUAUAUACAGGGGGUACCGGUACAAAGUCAAUGUGGAGGCUAUAUACAGGGGGUACCGGUACAGAGUCAAUGUGGAGGCUAUAUACAGGGGGGUACCGGUACAGAGUCAAUGUGGAGGCUAUAUACAGGGGGUACCGGUACAGAGUCAAUGUGGAGGCUAUAUACAGGGGAUACCGGUACAGAGUCAAUGUGGAGGCUAUAUACAGGGGGGUACCGGUACAGAGUCAAUGUGGAGGCUAUAUACAGGGGGUACCGGUACAGAGUCAAUGUGGAGGCUAUAUACAGGGGAUACCGGUACAGAGUCAAUGUGGAGGCUAUAUACAGGGGGUACCGGUACAGAGUCAAUGUGGAGGCUAUAUACAGGGGGGUACCGGUACAGAGUCAAUGUGGAGGCUAUAUACAGGGGGUACCGGUACAGAGUCAAUGUGGAGGCUAUAUACAGGGGGUACCGGUACAGAGUCAAUGUGGAGGCUAUAUACAGGGGGGUACCGGUACAGAGUCAAUGUGGAGGCUAUAUACAGGGGGUACCGGUACAGAGUCAAUGUGGAGGCUAUAUACAGGGGGAACCGGUACAGAGUCAAUGUGGAGGCUAUAUACAGGGGGUACCGGUACAGAGUCAAUGUGGAGGCUAUAUACAGGGGGUACCGGUACAGAGUCAAUGUGGAGGCUAUAUACAGGGGGGGUACCGGUACAGAGUCAAUGUGGAGGCUAUUUACAGGGUGUUAUGGUACAGAGUCAAUGUGGAGGCUAUAUACAGGUGA
rnacentral:lncRNA from 8 species